UACGAAGGGGGCUAGCGUUGCUCGGAAUCACUGGGCGUAAAGGGUGCGUAGGCGGGUCUUUAAGUCUGGGGUGAAAUCCUGGAGCUCAACUCCAGAACUGCCUUUGAUACUGUGGAUCUUGAGUUCGGGAGAGGUGAGUGGAACUGCGAGUGUAGAGGUGAAAUUCGUAGAUAUUCGCAAGAACACCAGUGGCGAAGGCGGCUCACUGGCCCGAUACUGACGCUGAGGCACGAAAGCGUGGGGAGCAAACAGG
rnacentral:rRNA from 1 species